GAUGAACGCUGGCGGCGUGCUUAACACAUGCAAGUCGAACGGAAAGGCCCAAGCUUGCUUGGGUGCUCGAGUGGCGAACGGGUGAGUAACACGUGGGUGAUCUGCCCUGCACUUUGGGAUAAGCCUGGGAAACUGGGUCUAAUACCGGAUAGGACCAUCUUUUAGUGUCGGUGGUGGAAAGUUUUUCGGUGUGGGAUGAGCUCGCGGCCUAUCAGCUUGUUGGUGGGGUAAUGGCCUACCAAGGCGUCGACGGGUAGCCGGCCUGAGAGGGUGUACGGCCACAUUGGGACUGGGAUACGGCCCAGACUCCUACGGGAGGCAGCAGUGGGGAAUAUUGCACAAUGGGCGCAAGCCUGAUGCAGCGACGCCGCGUGGGGGAUGACGGCCUUCGGGUUGUAAACUCCUUUCGCCAAGGACGAAGCGUUUUGUGACGGUACUUGGAGAAGAAGCACCGGCUAACUACGUG
rnacentral:rRNA from 1 species